rnacentral:lncRNA from 1 species
ACCAAAUUCCCCUUCUUCUUCGAGCUCGAUCUCAGUAACAACAAAAUCAAAGGCCAGUUUCCCAUCGACGCGAUUACGUCAAAAGUGCUAGUCUUCCUUGACCUCCGCUUCAAUCAACUCACCGGCCCAAUUCCCCCCCAACUCUUCCUGAAGGAUCUCGACGUCAUCUUCAUCAACAACAACCAAUUCACACAGUGUCUCCCCCAGAAUUUCGGCUACACACCGGCCCGCUACCUCACUUUCGCCAACAACAACCUCACCGGCCCCAUUCCAAAGAGCGUCGGUUACGCACCCAACCUUACCGAAGUUCUCUUCCUCGGGAACAAGUUUGACGGCUGCUUGCCCGUUGAAAUUGGAAACCUAAAAAGAGCUGUCGUGUUUGAUGUGAGUAAAAAUUUACUCACCGGCCCAAUUCCCCACUCCUUCGGGUGCUUGAAGAGCAUUC